UCUUGUACCAUGAAAAUGCAACUACACCUCGCCUUCGACAAACGCUGAGAAACCUUUUGUUUUUCUUUGCAUUUUUCAAACCCUUUUCUCUCUACUAUCUUAACAAACCCCAAUCCCCAAAAACCCUAAAUUUUAUUUCAAUCAACCCUAAAUUCAUCUAUCUCGUUUCACUUCGCGAUUUGCAGUAGCAACAUUUAGAAGAUAUGAAGUAGCAUGGUGGUUGAGAUAAUUGGUUGGAGUUGUUGCAUCUAAAGAUUUACCUGCAUAGACUUCUAAGGAAGAGUUUAGGCUUUGUUUGAGGAGUGGGAUCAUUCUUUGUAAUGUUCUUAACAAAGUUCAACUGGGUGAUGUAUCCAAGGUUGGAGUACCAUUAUCAGCAUUUCAGUAUUUUGAAAAUGUUAGAAACUUUCUUGUGGUUGUUCAGGAAAUUAGAAUUCCUACAUUUGAAGAAUUUGAUAUGCAACAAGUAUGUAAAGGAUCAUAUGUUUAAUACUGUUAGAAUUUCAAGAU